rnacentral:rRNA from 2 species
UACGUAUGGUGCAAGCGUUAUCCGGAUUUACUGGGUGUAAAGGGUGCGUAGGUGGUGAGACAAGUCUGAAGUGAAAAUCCGGGGCUUAACCUCGGAACUGCUUUGGAAACUGCCUGACUAGAGUACAGGAGAGGUAAGUGGAAUUCCUAGUGUAGCGGUGAAAUGCGUAGAUAUUAGGAGGAACACCAGUGGCGAAGGCGACUUACUGGACUGCUACUGACACUGAGGCACGAAAGCGUGGGGAGCAAACAGG